AGUGAACGCUGGCGGUAGGCCUAACACAUGCCAGUCGAACGGCAGCACAGUAAGAGCUUGCUCUUACGGGUGGCGAGUGGCGGACGGGUGAGGAAUACAUCGGAAUCUACUUUUUCGUGGGGGAUAACGUAGGGAAACUUACGCUAAUACCGCAUACGACCUACGGGUGAAAGCAGGGGAUCUUCGGACCUUGCGCGAUUGAAUGAGCCGAUGUCGGAUUAGCUAGUUGGCGGGGUAAAGGCCCACCAAGGCGACGAUCCGUAGCUGGUCUGAGAGGAUGAUCAGCCACACUGGAACUGAGACACGGUCCAGACUCCUACGGGAGGCAGCAGUGGGGAAUAUUGGACAAUGGGCGCAAGCCUGAUCCAGCCAUACCGCGUGGGUGAAGAAGGCCUUCGAGUUGUAAAGCCCUUUUGUUGGGAAAGAAAAGCAGCAGGUUAAUACCCCGCUGUUCUGACGGUACCCAAAGAAUAAGCACCGGCUAACUUCGU
rnacentral:rRNA from 1 species